rnacentral:rRNA from 1 species
AUGGAGGUUGCCAUAUCUGUAGUCACGGGUGAACUAGUGAGCCGUUUCAUCUCCUUCCUGAUGAACAAGUACUACUCACCCUUGAGCGAUGCACAAUCAGAGGAAAAGCUGGUGGGGAGAUUGCAACACCUCCUGAUGCGAGUCAGCAUCGUCAUCGAGGAGGCAGAUGCGCAGUACAUAACAAAUUCUGGGAUGUUGUUGCAGCUAAAGAUGCUCUCGGAGGCCAUGUACAAAGGAUACCACGUGCUGGACACCUUGAGGUACCAAACACUCCAAGACAGUGCAGGCUUUGAUGAGGUUAGCAUCAACGACUCAUCUAGUAGCAGCUCGUAUCUAGCCAUUCCUUUCAAGCGUUCUCGAACAAGAAGUAAGAAGGAUGACAGGGCCAUGCGCCUCGAGUCAGAUGGUGCCUUGGAAGGCUUAGAAAUUGUUGUUGCUAACAUGGCAGAAUUUGUUGUGCUUCUGGCUGGAUGCGAGCGCCUGUCUCAUAGGGUAUAUGAUGUUUAUCUUUACACUAGCAACUUCAUGUUUGGCCGACAUGCUGAAAAGCAAAAGCUCUUGAGCUUCUUGUUGGAGAAGAACAGCCCUCCUGGUGAUCAUGCACUAGCAGUUCUUCCGGUCAUAGGUGGUGUUGGAGUUGGAAAGAAAACAUUGGUUGCUCAUGUAUGUGGCGAAGAAAGGGUUCGCUCACGCUUCUCCUCUAUUUUGAACUUAAAUGGAGACAACCUCUUGACCAUACUUAACCAUGGAAGGAACAUGUUUGGGACGAUGUUGGUAGUUAUUGAGUUAACUUCUGAUGUAGGUGAUGAUGAUUGGAAAAAGUUUCAUUCAUUUCUCAUAAGAAUCAGCAGAGGAAGCAAGAUCAUAAUCAUAAGUAAACUUAAAAGAUUAGCCCGGCUUGGAUCGGUGCAGCCUAUUUUCCUAAGUGCUCUGUCCUAUGACGAGUUGAGCUACCUUUUCAAAACACUGGCAUUCGGGAGUGUAUACCCCACUGAACAUCCACGGCUAGUACAGCUAGCUGAUGAGUUUGCCAAGGAGUUGCACAAUACACAUAGUUCACUCCUUGCAGCAAAUAUGUUUGCCGAUGUGUUGAGAAGGAACCUCGAUGUUCACUUUUGGCGUUGCAUACUGGACAAGGGGCUAAGACACGUUAGAAGAAACCUCUCCAUGUAUGGUGCGCACCCAAGCACGCUUAUAGAACAAGGCCAUCCAGUGGACAUAACAGAUUUUGCUUCACAUCCACUUACCAUGACAAGUUAUACUGCUAGUGUUUCUAUCAAGGAAGAAUCACCAAGUGUGACACUGGGGGAACUUCUAGCAGAUCCUAGUGUUAUACCCAAAAAAGAUUUUAUUCUAAUUUCAUGGGAAUCAAGGAUACCACCUCAUAACUCAUUUGCUCGUUUUGUUACAAGUUGUGUUCAGGACACACAUGAAGGUAGUUCUUUGCCAGGGAGGAAGCGACGAGGAGUGCCAAUCUAA